CCGCGGCUGUGUGAUGUAUAUGACAAGAGUCACCAGAGACACUUUAUAAGACCCUCUUAUGCUAGUUUUUAACAUUGCAAAAUAGCAAAACUAAAUGCUGGUAAUACAAGAUAAACUAAUAUAGGUGAAUGGUAUGACCUUCUAUGAAUGGGAUUUCCAGAUCAGGUGCUAUGUGAACAGAAAGAGAAGGAAAAGCUGAGUACAGCAAAGAGGAGGUUACACUACGCACCGAACUUCUGCUAAAGACAAGGCUGUAUACUGAAUGGAGGAGGGAUUAGCAUCAGAUCGCGUGCUCAGUAUAUCACAGUGAACGUUUAAGCCGGACAUCUCCUACACGUCUAGUUGGGAUUUCUCCUGCAACCUGCACGGAGGCGGCUGACUCAGAGGUGGCCUGCAAUGCCUAAUCCUCACCGUGACCCAG